AACGCACAUUGCGCCGCCUGGUAUUCCGGGCGGCACACCUGUUCGAGCGCCAUUUCACCCCUCAAGCCAUGCUUGGUGAUGGGCCCAGCCCCUGGGCGGGCCCCAAACCCGUAGGCGUCGAAGGCCGGCUCCGAGCGUAGCAAAACCCUCGCUCGGGACCCCGGUCGGAGAUGGCCGCGUGAACCUCACAACUUUGUACAAGGUUGGCCUCGGAUCAGGUGGGGAUACCCGCUGAACUUAA
rnacentral:misc_RNA from 1 species